GCUUACCAUGCAAGUCGAACGAUGAACCACCUUCGGGUGGGGAUUAGUGGCGAACGGGUGAGUAACACGUGGGCAAUCUGCCCUGCACUCUGGGACAAGCCCUGGAAACGGGGUCUAAUACCGGAUACUGACCUGCCAAGGCAUCUUGGCGGGUCGAAAGCUCCGGCGGUGCAGGAUGAGCCCGCGGCCUAUCAGCUUGUUGGUGAGGUAAUGGCUCACCAAGGCGACGACGGGUAGCCGGCCUGAGAGGGCGACCGGCCACACUGGGACUGAGACACGGCCCAGACUCCUACGGGAGGCAGCAGUGGGGAAUAUUGCACAAUGGGCGCAAGCCUGAUGCAGCGACGCCGCGUGAGGGAUGACGGCCUUCGGGUUGUAAACCUCUUUCAGCAGGGAAGAAGCGAAAGUGACGGUACCUGCAGAAGAAGCGCCGGCUAACUACGUGCCAGCAGCCGCGGUAAUACGUAGGGCGCAAGCGUUGUCCGGAAUUAUUGGGCGUAAAGAGCUCGUAGGCGGCUUGUCGCGUCGGUUGUGAAAGCCCGGGGCUUAACCCCGGGUCUGCAGUCGAUACGGGCAGGCUAGAGUUCGGUAGGGGAGAUCGGAAUUCCUGGUGUAGCGGUGAAAUGCGCAGAUAUCAGGAGGAACACCGGUGGCGAAGGCGGAUCUCUGGGCCGAUACUGACGCUGAGGAGCGAAAGCGUGGGGAGCGAACAGGAUUAGAUACCCUGGUAGUCCACGCCGUAAACGGUGGGCACUAGGUGUGGGCAACAUUCCACGUUGUCCGUGCCGCAGCUAACGCAUUAAGUG
rnacentral:rRNA from 1 species